rfam:Streptomyces sp. NBRC 110027 DNA, contig: TPA059805.
UUCACGGAGAGUUUGAUCCUGGCUCAGGACGAACGCUGGCGGCGUGCUUAACACAUGCAAGUCGAACGAUGAACCUCCUUCGGGAGGG